GGGGAAUUUUGGACAAUGGGGGCAACCCUGAUCCAGCCAUGCCGCGUGAGUGAAGAAGGCCUUCGGGUUGUAAAGCUCUUUCGGACGGAAAGAAAUCGCGCAGGUAAAUAAUCUGCGUGGAUGACGGUACCGUAAGAAGAAGCACCGGCUAACUACGUGCCAGCAGCCGCGGUAAUACGUAGGGUGCGAGCGUUAAUCGGAAUUACUGGGCGUAAAGCGUGCGCAGGCGGCUUUGUAAGACAGGUGUGAAAUCCCCGGGCUUAACCUGGGAAUGGCGCUUGUGACUGCAAGGCUCGAGUGCGGCAGAGGGGGGUGGAAUUCCACGUGUAGCAGUGAAAUGCGUAGAGAUGUGGAGGAACACCGAUGGCGAAGGCAGCCCCCUGGGUCGACACUGACGCUCAUGCACGAAAGCGUGGGGAGCAAAC
rnacentral:rRNA from 1 species